rnacentral:rRNA from 1 species
AGAGUUUGAUCCUGGCUCAGGACGAACGCUGGCGGCGUGCCUAAUACAUGCAAGUAGAACGCUGAGAACUGGUGCUUGCACCGGUUCAAGGAGUUGCGAACGGGUGAGUAACGCGUAGGUAACCUACCUCAUAGCGGGGGAUAACUAUUGGAAACGAUAGCUAAUACCGCAUAAGAGAGACUAACGCAUGUUAGUAAUUUAAAAGGGGCAAUUGCUCCACUAUGAGAUGGACCUGCGUUGUAUUAGCUAGUUGGUGAGGUAAAGGCUCACCAAGGCGACGAUACAUAGCCGACCUGAGAGGGUGAUCGGCCACACUGGGACUGAGACACGGCCCAGACUCCUACGGGAGGCAGCAGUAGGGAAUCUUCGGCAAUGGGGGCAACCCUGACCGAGCAACGCCGCGUGAGUGAAGAAGGUUUUCGGAUCGUAAAGCUCUGUUGUUAGAGAAGAAUGAUGGUGGGAGUGGAAAAUCCACCAAGUGACGGUAACUAACCAGAAAGGGACGGCUAACUACGUGCCAGCAGCCGCGGUAAUACGUAGGUCCCGAGCGUUGUCCGGAUUUAUUGGGCGUAAAGCGAGCGCAGGCGGUUUUUUAAGUCUGAAGUUAAAGGCAUUGGCUCAACCAAUGUACGCUUUGGAAACUGGAGAACUUGAGUGCAGAAGGGGAGAGUGGAAUUCCAUGUGUAGCGGUGAAAUGCGUAGAUAUAUGGAGGAACACCGGUGGCGAAAGCGGCUCUCUGGUCUGUAACUGACGCUGAGGCUCGAAAGCGUGGGGAGCAAACAGGAUUAGAUACCCUGGUAGUCCACGCCGUAAACGAUGAGUGCUAGGUGUUAGGCCCUUUCCGGGGCUUAGUGCCGAAGCUAACGCAUUAAGCACUCCGCCUGGGGAGUACGACCGCAAGGUUGAAACUCAAAGGAAUUGACGGGGGCCCGCACAAGCGGUGGAGCAUGUGG